ACGGGCCUGAGGCCACCCUUGCAAUAUGGGGGCCGGAGCCCAGUGUCCACCUGCUCCCCAUUUGUCCCUGCCUCUGUCCCUGCUCAUGGUCCCAUCCUGCGGGGUUGAAAGCUGAAGGCAGCUCUGGGCCACGGAUAGGGCUGCUUGGUAGAAAGUUCCUUUGUUUGACCCCCCAGUGGGCCGGGGCGAGCCAAGCCCUGGGGGUGCUGUUUCCAGUCCUUGCUCGUCCCCGACGUGUUUCAGGACUGCCUAGCAUGAAACAUUUGAGAUUCUCAGACGAGAGAAAAGUCAGGUCAAGGGUAUAGACCCUGCGGCAUUAUCACGGAGUCAGUGGCCAAAGGCCCCGUCCAGGUCAAGAAGUGAGCGGGCAGUGGUACCCACAGCCCCCCUCCCCCCCAUGGAAGGGCACGAUUCAGGCUGGCAUUUGGCCCCCACACACUGAUGAGACUGAGGUUCAGAGGGCCAGACGUUUGUCAGGAUCAUUCAGAUCCGACACGAGAACCUGUCGCCACUCCUACCCCCCAAACGUCGCCCCCCCCCCCGUAUGUCCUGGGCCCCACCUGAAUCCCCAGUCCCCCCCUUUCUGUCCUGAUCCUUGACCGCCAGCGUCCAUGAAUAGAAACCUGCCUGUGUUUUUUUUAAAUUGUUUUUAUUACAGUUAAUGGACAAUGUCCUGUCAAUUUCUGCGAUGCCGCAGAGUGACCCAGUCAUACGUAGACAAAUACGUCUGUGCAUAUUCUUUCUCUCACAUUCGCCUCCAUCGUGUUCCAUCACAAGCGAGUAGACAGAGUUCCCUGUGCUGCCCAGCAGGGAAACCUGCCCUUAGGAAUCCUGAGUUCUGGGCAUUUUGCCCCCUAAGGUCGCUGAAUCAAGGUUAGAUCACGCCAGUUAAUUUCCAGGCUCCAGCGAGAUCUUCAGCCGAACAGAAAAAAACUAAGGGAGAUGUGAGAUGUUUGGAGCAAGAAACUUUUAUUAGGUGAAAAGCCCUCCCUUCUUGAACUUAGCUGUUGGCAUGCGUGGAUCAGAAUUAGAUGCUCUUUGCAAGUUAGCAAAAGCAACCCUAGUCCCCUCCGCUAAAUGCCAUCAAAGGAUGUCCAGGGGGCCGGUUGGGGUGACCGCCUCUUUUGGCGGCGGUGACCCACGUGUUGCCCAGACCUGGGAACUGGAUGAGGGCGAGCACCUUUGAGAGUAGGGAUCCCACGAAAACCUACCCUCCGUGCAGCUUUUGCAGAGUAAAAUAAUAGAGCAGUUGCUGGUGUUUCUAAAAAGAUUUCACUUUAUUAAUUUGUUUUUAUUACUGUUGAUUCACAAUGUUCUGUCAAGUAAGAGGAUUUAUUUUAAAUAGGAAAAAAAAAUCCAUAGGACCGUCAACUACAUACCAAUAAGGAAAACCAAGUCCUGAAUAUUCUGGCAUUUGAGAAGCUGGGGAGGGGUGCAGGCAGUUGUGUGCUGAGCCCCCCAGCAGAGGGGUCUGUGUGAAUUGCUCAGCCUCGGGUGUGGAGGGGCCGGUUUUAACCUGUGUCCUUGUUUCUGUGGCACACGGGACCCCUGGGCCCCACUCUCCAAGCCCAGAGGUCCUGCCAGGCUUCCUGCCUUGGUCUUCCGACUCCCAGGGCCCACGGGUUCCAGAAUCCAUCAUGAAAUCAGUCCUGGAGGCUCAGGAGUGAGGCCAGGAGACACCCCCCCUUUCUUCUGAUUUUCCGUUUUGUUUUUUGUUUUUUUCUGCUGUUACUGCUCUCCCUCUGUUCUCCACCCUGGCUUCUCUCCCUUACUCUAUCACCAUGUCCUAGUCUGGUCCCCUGGGGGUGCCCGAGUCCAGCCCACUCCUCCUUGGGGUGUCCCAGCACCAGCCUGGCACCAAGUGGGGUUCAGUAAGAGUAUGUGGGAUGUCUGCUUGGACAGGUGAGUCAAUGAAGGAACUCGACUGCCCGACUCAGCUGCUAGACGGGAGUUGUGGGGACGGCAGGGAGUUGCAGGUCCGGGGGGAGGGUGGAUGUACUUUCCCUGAGAGGAGUGGGCGCCGCCCACCCCCAGCCCCGUUUGAGUGGGGCCUCACCAGUGUCACCCCUUCAUUCACUCACGCGUCCACCCCGUCAUUCAACAGUUGAUCCUUACUGAGCAAGCCCACCGCCUGGCCCCGGGCUGGGCACCUGCCACGCUAGGGCGUCCCUUGAUGGCCUCUACCUCCCCAGGAGGGCGGGCCGGGGGGCUGCUUCUGCUGAGGGUGGCCUUGCGACUCCAGGGCGCUGGAGCAGCAGCUCCUGCUCCGGAGAGAAGGCAGCGGGAGGAGGGUGCGAGGGGUGGGCUGGUUUGCCUCCGGCCAGUGGGCCUCCUUUUCAGUCAACUCCCCCCUGCUCCAGGGGGAGCCUUGAACCUGCCCUUCUCUAGGGCUCUGCUGCCGGCCCGAGCCAGCCCCUCCUGCCCGCUUGGCCUCCCCCUGCCCCCCAAGACCCACCCCAUGGCUGAGUGCUGAUGACUCUUCUGGACCCUCAGCCCUGAAGUUCAGGACUGAGGUGGGGGCACAGGGACAGCUGUGGUUCAUGCGUGUCCCCUCGGGCUCUGGUCCCACAGGUCUCCUUCUGGAGUUGGGGUCUGUGAGCUGGACCCCUCCCUCCGUGACGCCUUCCUCCCUCCUCUGCGCCCCCAGUCGUUGGCUGGGGCCUGUCCAGGGCAAAGGGCAGAUGACUGGGGGACCUCCAGGGAGCGUUGCAGGCUCUGCCAAGGCCUGGCUGCCCACCUGUUCUCUACCUGGCGGUUCCUUCCCUGCCUCCCUCCCCCCAGCCAGGGUGCCUGCCCACCUGGAGCUCUGCUUGCCCGGCCCGCCCCUCUGUGCCCCCUGUCACUGGGCUCAGGAUCUUCUGGGUCCUGGCUGUGCCGCCCUCUGCCUAACAGGUUGUUUUUCCCGCUGCCUCGCCCACCUCCCACCUGCGUGCCUUUUGCCCUCCCCGUCCCCCGGUGCAAGGAAGCCCUCCCCGCUCAGGGCCGCCCAAGUUUCCAGCGGGUCUCCGGUGCCCCGGGAUAAGCCCGAGCUGGCCCGCCACCUCCCCCGGUCAUCCUCAGAUGCCUCUUCUCCCGGCCGUGGCCCCUCAGGGUCUUAGUGACGGUGGGCUACAACCAGAUUUUUGUCCUGCUCCCCUCCCCACACCCCCUAGACCCCUCGUCAUCGGGUCCUGCUGGGCCUGCCCAGAUGGCUGCCCUGUCCCCCUGAGUCCCAGGCCCUGCCCCACCCCAGGCCCCGUGGCCAGUCUGGGGGCUGCCACCCGGCCUGUCGCCUCUCUUCUUGCACCUCUUCCCAUCACGGCAUCCCCACGAGCCACCUCCCUCCACAGAAAUCCAAGCCGCAGGUGAGACUGGGCUCUGUGCCCUUUCUUGGUGGGUGUGGCUUUUCUGGGGGGGCUUCCCUUGCUGUCGCCCAACUCUCUGCCUCCCCCCGAGGUCGGCCUGUCCUCGACACACUGGCAGCGAGCGUCGGCUGAAGAACCGGAUGGAAGAGGCGGGAGAGUCACCACGGACUGGCGUUCCUUCAGGUCGGUCGCCUGGCGUCUUCGGGCUGCGACUCCUUCCCGGAUCGGGCUGAAGCCAUCAUCUGUGUCCUCCGUCGGAAGGGACCUCAGACAUGUGGCUCCUGCACCCUCCAGCUCUGAAAUCGGCCCAGGAAAACGGAGAGACGAAAAACGAGGCGAGAACGGACAAAGGGAAGAUGCUAAUCCAGCAGCCAGGGUGGUACGUGGUUAGUGAAGCAGGUGGUCUGAGCAGCGAUUGUCAUUUGUUUACACCCGCGCUUCUUAAGGAGGUGAAUUCCCGACCCCUUUCCCAGAAUAGAUGAAAACGAGCGGACAUACCCGGCCCAACGACAAGACUGCGAUCUCCAGCCUUUUCUUAUUAUCUUUGGGUCGUAAAAUAUACGCAAUUGAGGCCCGCGAGUGAGAGCGUAAAUACCAGCAUGUGACCGGUGAUGAAAGGCGGGAGAAGGAUUUGCAGACGCAAAUAAAUACAUGGUGUGAUGAUCAC
rnacentral:lncRNA from 1 species